CACUUGACAGUCAAACUAGGGGUUGAUCCUCCAAACGUAGAUCAAAUUGAAACCGAUUUUCAGCCCCUUCAAAUUUUUUCCAUAAUCUUCCCAUCGCUCCUUUCUCAAACUAGCAUCCAAACUAUGAAGAAACAUAGCCAAUGAAGACCAACAUGCGGAAGAAGAUGGUGCUGCCAUAAUACCUUUCACAUGCAACAAAACUUCAAGCUAUUAAAGGUGAUACAAAAGAAGAAGGAGAACACGAGAGGUUUAAAGUGGUUCGGUCAGAGACCUACGUCCACUGCUGAAUCUUUUGAUUUCUUGAAGAGAUUUGCAGCAAUCACUCAAAAACAGAGAAAACAUUAAAGGCAAAGAAGCAACAUGCAAAUCUUUACUUCAUGAGAAAGAAAGAAAUUGAAGAACGAGAGAGAGCAAGGGAAAAAGAAGAUGAUCACAAGCAAGGUUUAAGUGGUUCAGCAACUUGUGCUUACAUCUAUUGUGGAAAAUUGGUAGCUUCUCCGUUUCAUUCAAUGAUUCAAAAUGAAUCUUCACAGAUCAAUCAUACAGUACAAGAGUCUCUCAAAGCAAGCUAUUUAAAGGACCUUCUUUUAUAUAAGUCUUCUGUCUCAACAACUAUUUAUUUCUCUAUUUGUUGAUUGUUGGAAUGCCUUGAAUCUAUUUGUUGGUGCUUUG